rnacentral:rRNA from 1 species
AAGGGAAAAGGAGCAAUCCGCUUUGAGAUGGCCUCGCGUCCGAUUAGCUAGUUGGUGAGGUAAUGGCCCACCAAGGCGACGAUCGGUAGCCGGACUGAGAGGUUGAACGGCCACAUUGGGACUGAGACACGGCCCAGACUCCUACGGGAGGCAGCAGUGGGGAAUAUUGCACAAUGGGGGAAACCCUGAUGCAGCGACGCCGCGUGGAGGAAGAAGGUCUUCGGAUUGUAAACUCCUGUUGUUGAGGAAGAUAAUGACGGUACUCAACAAGGAAGUGACGGCUAACUACGUGCCAGCAGCCGCGGUAAAACGUAGGUCACAAGCGUUGUCCGGAAUUACUGGGUGUAAAGGGAGCGCAGGCGGGAAGACAAGUUGGAAGUGAAAUCCAUGGGCUCAACCCAUGAACUGCUUUCAAAACUGUUUUUCUUGAGUAGUGCAGAGGUAGGCGGAAUUCCCGGUGUAGCGGUGGAAUGCGUAGAUAUCGGGAGGAACACCAGUGGCGAAGGCGGCCUACUGGGCACCAACUGACGCUGAGGCUCGAAAGUGUGGGUAGCAAACAGGAUUAGAUACCCUGGUAGUCCACACUGUAAACGAUGAUUACUAGGUGUUGGAGGAUUGACCCCUUCAGUGCCGCAGUUAACACAAUAAGUAAUCCACCUGGGGAGUA